rnacentral:rRNA from 1 species
UACGUAGGGGGCAAGCGUUGUCCGGAUUUAUUGGGCGUAAAGAGCGUGUAGGCGGCCAGGUAGGUCCGCUGUGAAAACUCGAGGCUCAACCUCGAGAUGUCGGCGGAAACCAUCUGGCUAGAGUCCGGAAGAGGAGAGUGGAAUUCCUGGUGUAGCGGUGAAAUGCGCAGAUAUCAGGAAGAACACCUAUGGCGAAGGCAGCUCUCUGGGACGGUACUGACGCUGAGACGCGAAAGCGUGGGGAGCGAACAGG